rnacentral:rRNA from 1 species
AAACUAACAAGGAUUCCCCUAGUAGCGGCGAGCGAAGCGGGAAGAGCUCAAAUUUAUAAUCUGGCACCUUCGGUGUCCGAGUUGUAAUCUCUAGAAGUGUUUUCCGCGUUGGACCGCACACAAGUCUGUUGGAAUACAGCGGCAUAGUGGUGAGACCCCCGUAUAUGGUGCGGACGCCCAACGCUUUGUGAUACACUUUCGAAGAGUCGAGUUGUUUGGGAAUGCAGCUCAAAUUGGGUGGUAAAUUCCAUCUAAAGCUAAAUAUUGGCGAGAGACCGAUAGCGAACAAGUACCGUGAGGGAAAGAUGAAAAGCACUUUGGAAAGAGAGUUAACAGUACGUGAAAUUGUUGGAAGGGAAACGCUUGAAGUCAGACUUGCUUGCCGAGCAAUCGGUUUGCAGGCCAGCAUCAGUUUUCCGGGGUGGAUAAUGGUAGAGAGAAGGUAGCAGUUUCGGCUGUGUUAUAGCUCUCUGCUGGAUACACCUUGGGGGACUGAGGAACGCAGUGUGCCUUACGGCGGAUUUCUCGAGAUCUUCACACUUAGGAUGCUGGUGGAAUGGCUUUAAACGACCCGUCUG